rnacentral:rRNA from 1 species
UACGAAGGGUGCAAGCGUUACUCGGAAUUACUGGGCGUAAAGCGUGCGUAGGUGGUUUGUUAAGUCUGAUGUGAAAGCCCAGAGCUCAACUCUGGAAUUGCCUUUGAGACUGAGUGGCUUGAGUACGAGAGAGGUGAGUGGAAUUCCCAGUGUAGAGGUGAAAUUCGUAGAUAUUGGGAAGAACACCGGUGGCGAAGGCGGCUCACUGGCUCGUAACUGACGCUCAUGCACGACAGCGUGGGGAUCAAACAGG